rnacentral:lncRNA from 1 species
CCAGAUUGGUGGCCUUUGAAAGAUCUGGCAUUUGUAUCAGGUCGUGAGAAUAGCUCAAAUCCAUCUCCUUGAGAUAUGGAAGCGCAUGUACUCAACAAAACAAAAAGGACAAAAACAUAGCUCAGUAGAACAUGGUUUGUUAUCCAAAAAAAUAAAAUAAAGAUUAUAAUCUCACUGCUGAUAACAUAACUGUUCUAACAAUUGUGAGAAGGAACAGAUGCGGAAACAGAUGAAUAAAAACGAUGUAACAACGACACAGAGAUUUAACGUGGUUCACCAACUUGGCUACGUCCACGGGCAAAGAGAGAUCUUAUUAUUGGAGGCGAUAUUGAGUUUACAGAGUGCAAGUUUAGAGUUACUUCGAAUACAAGAUAUAUAUAGUAACAUCUCGCAUCUAAAACCCUAGACUAAACGGACUCAUGGGCUUAAGCCCACGAUCAGAUGUAACAUCCAUAAUAACUUGAUGCAACGCUCUUGAUGCAACCGAGUCGGUAUGAUGUACAUGAUGUAACAUCCAUCGCCUAGAUGUAACAUCCAGAUUCAAGGCAUAUCAACAAUUCUCCACCUUGACUUGAAUCCUCUCAAUAACAGAUGUACCAGAUGCACCUUCAAGUGCCAAAUGUACCAGAUGCGCUUCUCUGCGCUAGAUGUACCAUCGCUCUCUUUGCCUCAGAUGUCCCUUCGGACCAGAUGUGCUGCUUAGACGAACCAGACGCCAUUUAACGGCCAGAUGCUCAACUAGAGCCAGACGUUCGUUAUCAGCCAGAUGUCCCAAUAGACUAGACGUCCUUACGGACCAGAUGUCCUUACAGACCAGAUGCCCCGACGGGCCAGAUUCCCCAACGGGCCAGAUGCCCCAACGGGCCAGACGUCCUUGCGGACCAGAUGUCCUUGCGGACCAGAUGCCCCUUCGGGCCAUAUGCCCCUUAGGGCCAUACUAACAGUUUGAGAUGUUUAGCAAGUCUAAGCAAUGCUUAAACUUGCUGUGAGGAACCGGCUUUGUGAACAUGUCAGCAGGAUUAUCUGCAGUUCCUACUUUCUUCACUUCAAUUCGCUUCUCAUCUCUCAAGAAGUGAUACCUCACAUCAAUAUGCUUCGUUCUCUCAUGAUGAACCUGAUCCUUGGCUAAGCAUAUAGCGCUCAAACUGUCACAAUACACAGUAGCCUAAUCUUGAUGCAAACCGAGAUCAUCUCCAGCAUAAUCAGAAUCAGAAAAGCCUGUUACCAAUCGCGGAUUGUCGCAUCCAUAGAUGAGACCAACAUCAGAUGUACCCUUCAGAUACCGGAAAAUCCGCUUCACAGCUGCCCAAUGCUCCUUCCCAGGUUGUCCCAUAAACCUGCUAACCACACUGACUGCAUGUGCCAGAUCUGGUCUUGUGCAGACCAUUGCAUACAUCAAGCUUCCUACAGCGCUAGCAUAAGGAACUCGAGACAUAUACUCUGUCUCUUCUUCAGACUGAACCUCAUACAUGGUAAGAUGAAGAUUUGAUGCACACGGAGUACUAAUAGGUUUACAUGAAGACAUUUCGAACCUUGUCAACACCUUAUUAAUGUAGGUCUUCUGUGACAAGAACAACUUCUUCUUCUCCCUAUCUCUAAAGAUCUCCAUCCCUAGAAUCUUCUUUGCUGCACCCAAAUCCUUCAUCUCAAAUUCAGAACUCAGAAGCUCCUUCAGCUUCUUGAUGUCACACAUCUUCUCUGCAGCUAUCAGCAUGUCAUCCACAUAGAGCACCAAAUAGAUGAAUGUGUCAUCUUUCAAUUUUCUCAUGUAGACACAACAAUCAUAAGGACUUUUGAUGUAGCCCAACUUGAUCAUAUAGCUGUCGAAUCUCUUGUACCAUUGUCUGGGAGACUGCUUAAGUCCAUAAAGGGACUUCCGAAGCUUACACACAUAGUCUUCUUUUCCAGGAACUCGGAAACCAUCCGGCUGAGUCAUGUAUAUCUCCUCCUCAAGCUCUCCAUGAAGAAACGCAGUCUUCACAUCGAGUUGCUCAAGCUCCAAGUCCUGAUGUGCUACCAGCGCUAGCAACACUCUGAUGGAAGUAUGUCUGACCACUGGUGAAAAUAUCUCAUUGUAGUCUACUCCCUCUCUCUGACUAAAACCUCUUGCAACAACCCGAGAUUUAUACUUAACUCCUUCUGUCGGCGAUGCUCCAUCCUUAAUCUUGUAGAUCCACUUGCAUGUAACAACUCUUCUCCCUGGUGGUAAUGUGACCAAAUCCCAUGUAUGAUUCUUCUCAUGAGACUCCAUUUCGUCUCCCAUUGCUGCAUGCCAUUUCUCAUACUCGGGACAAGAAACAGCUUCCAUGUAAGUGGAUGGUUCAUACGUAUCCACUUCCUCUGCAACCUGAAGUGCAUAACCCACCAUAUCAUCAAAACGAUAUCUUUCUGGUGGCCUGACAUCAACCCUUCUUGGUCGAUCCUUCGCGAUGGUACGCUUCGUAGCAUCAAGCGGUUGAGUCUCCGUAGACUCCAACUGAACUUCUUCUACACGCUCCUCUUGAUUUUCUGUGUGUUCAUGCACAUUGAUCACGUCAUGAUCAUCUCGCAGCUCCACCUGUUUAUCAGUGCUACCUUUCUCUGCUUCAGAACUGGACCAUGAGCUUCUAACCAUAGAUGCUUCAUCGAAAACAACAUUCCUGCUUAGAAUCACUCGGUUUUCUGAUGGAGACCAGACCCUGUAUCCCUUGACUCCAUCGCCGUAGCCCAUAAAAACUCCCUUCCUUCCUCUUGGCUCUAGUUUACCUAUACGUAUCCACUUCCUCUGCAACCUGAAGUGCAUAACCCACCAUAUCAUCAAAACGAUAUCUCUCUGGUGGCCUGACAUCAACCCUUCUUGGUCGCAUCAGGCGGUUGAGUCUCCGUAGACUCCAACUGAACUUCUUCUACACGCUCCUCUUGAUUUUCUAGUGUGUUCCUGCACAUUGAUCACUUCAUGAUCAUCUUGCAGCUCCACCUGUUUAUCAGUGCUACCUUUCUCUACUUCAGAACUGGACCAUGAGCUUCUAACCAUAUAUGCUUCAUCGAAGAAAACAUUCCUGCUUAGAAUCACUCGGUUUUCUGAUGGAGACCAGACCCUGUAUCCCUUGACUCCAUCGCCGUAGCCCAUAAAAACUCCCUUCCUUGCUCUCGGCUCUAGUUUACCUUCACUUACAUGAUAGUAAACAGUGCAACCGAACACUCUUAGAAGUGAAUAAUCAGCAGAUCUACCUGACCACACUUCAGAAGGUAUCCUGCACUCGAUGCCUGUGUGGGGACCGAGAUUUAUCAAGUAACAAGCCGUGUUGACUGCUUCAGCCCAAAACCGCUUCUCCAGACCAGCAUUCGAGAGCAUGCACCUUGCUCUCUCUAGCAAUGUCUGGUUCAUUCGUUCUGCUACACCAUUUUGUUGUGGUGUUUCUCUGACUGUAAGAUGCCUUGCAAUCCCCGCAUCCUUACAAAAAUGAUUGAACUCUGCUAAGCAGAAUUCCAGACCGUUAUCAGUACGAAGUCGCUUCACCUUCUUCUCUGUUUGAUUCUCCACCAAUAUUUUCCACUCCUUGAAGCUACUGAACGCUUCACUUUUGUGCUUCAUAAAAAUUAUCCAAGUCUUCCUCGAAUAAUCAUCAAUCAUAGACACAAAAUAUCUGUGACCUUUCAGUGACUCUACUCUGGAUGGACCCCAACAGUCUGAAUAAUGAACGAUUGCACGAAGUUCUCGAAAGAGUUCGGCAAAGAUACCAACAGGAUUAGAGCAGCGUCUUCAUCCUCCACCUUAACAUCGAUGUUACGCAGCUCCAGUAAUAUCGAAUUUAACUUGUCAAGAUGGUCGCGAAGCUCAAUACCUUCUUGCAUACGCAAGGCAAAGAGGCGUUGCUUCAGAAGUAGCUUGUUCGUUAGAGAUUUUGUCAUGUACAAGCUCUCCAACUUCUGCCACAAACUAGCAGCAGUUUUCUCAUCCGACACUUCGAUGAUGAUCUCGUCUGCUAGACACAACAAAAUUGUUGAGAACGCCUUCUCUUCUAGAGUCUCCAAAUCAGCUGCUUCAGAUUUCUUCUCUGACAAUGGUCCCCAAAUGCCUUGUUGCUUCAACAACGCCUGCAUCUUAAUCUGCCAAAGACUGAAGCUAUUUCUCCCAUCAAACUUGUCGAUCUUCGCUCUUAUUCCAGACAUCUUCUCACUAGAUCACAACCCGAAGCUCUGAUACCAGUUUGUUGUAACAAUUGUGAGAAGGAACAGAUGCGGAAACAGAUGAAUAAAAGCGAUGUAACAACGACACAGAGAUUUAACGUGGUUCACCAACUUGGCUACGUCCACGGGCAAAGAGAGAUCUUAUUAUUGGAGGCGAUAUUGAGUUUACAGAGUGCAAGUUUAGAGUUACUUCGAAUACAAGAUAUAUAUAGUAACAUCUCGCAUCUAAAACCCUAGACUAAACGGACUCAUGGGCUUAAGCCCACGAUCAGAUGUAACAUCCAUAAUAACUUGAUGCAACGCUCUUGAUGCAACCGAGUCGGUAUGAUGUACAUGAUGUAACAUCCAUCGACUAGAUGUAACAUCCAGAUUCAAGGCAUAUCAACAAUAACAAUCAUUCUUAAAACUUACCACAACUCCUUCCCACAGCUUCUUGAGCUUGCUAUUCUGCAUUUUAAGCUCGACGAGGUUUUCAGGACGAAACUUAGAAGGCAGACAUCUCAUUGGAUAAUCUCUCCAUCUCAAUAAUUUCA